AGAGUUUGAUCAUGGCUCAGGACGAACGCUGGCAGCGUGCCUAAUACAUGCAAGUAGAACGCUGAAGAGAGGAGCUUGCUCUUCUUGGAUGAGUUGCGAACGGGUGAGUAACGCGUAGGUAACCUGCCUUGUAGCGGGGGAUAACUAUUGGAAACGAUAGCUAAUACCGCAUAACAAUGGAUGACCCAUGUCAUUUAUUUGAAAGGGGCAAAUGCUCCACUACAAGAUGGACCUGCGUUGUAUUAGCUAGUAGGUGAGGUAACGGCUCACCUAGGCGACGAUACAUAGCCGACCUGAGAGGGUGAUCGGCCACACUGGGACUGAGACACGGCCCAGACUCCUACGGGAGGCAGCAGUAGGGAAUCUUCGGCAAUGGGGGCAACCCUGACCGAGCAACGCCGCGUGAGUGAAGAAGGUUUUCGGAUCGUAAAGCUCUGUUGUAAGUCAAGAACGAGUGUGAGAGUGGAAAGUUCACACUGUGACGGUAGCUUACCAGAAAGGGACGGCUAACUACGUGGCAGCAGCCGCGGUAAUACGUAGGUCCCGAGCGUUGUCCGGAUUUAUUGGGCGUAAAGCGAGCGCAGGCGGUUUGAUAAGUCUGAAGUUAAAGGCUGUGGCUCAACCAUAGUUCGCUUUGGAAACUGUCAAACUUGAGUGCAGAAGGGGAGAGUGGAAUUCCAUGUGUAGCGGUGAAAUGCGUAGAUAUAUGGAGGAACACCGGUGGCGAAAGCGGCUCUCUGGUCUGUAACUGACGCUGAGGCUCGAAAGCGUGGGGAGCGAACAGGAUUAGAUACCCUGGUAGUCCACGCCGUAAACGAUGAGUGCUAGGUGUUGGAUCCUUUCCGGGAUUCAGUGCCGCAGCUAACGCAUUAAGCACUCCGCCUGGGGAGUACGACCGCAAGGUUGAAACUCAAAGGAAUUGACGGGGGCCCGCACAAGCGGUGGAGCAUGUGGUUUAAUUCGAAGCAACGCGAAGAACCUUACCGGGUCUUGACAUCCCGAUGCUAUUUCUAGAGAUAGAAAGUUACUUCGGUACAUCGGUGACAGGUGGUGCAUGGUUGUCGUCAGCUCGUGUCGUGAGAUGUUGGGUUAAGUCCCGCAACGAGCGCAACCCCUAUUGUUAGUUGCCAUCAUUCAGUUGGGCACUCUAGCGAGACUGCCGGUAAUAAACCGGAGGAAGGUGGGGAUGACGUCAAAUCAUCAUGCCCCUUAUGACCUGGGCUACACACGUGCUACAAUGGUUGGUACAACGAGUUGCGAGUCGGUGACGGCAAGCUAAUCUCUUAAAGCCAAUCUCAGUUCGGAUUGUAGACUGCAACUCGCCUACAUGAAGUCGGAAUCGCUAGUAAUCGCGGAUCAGCACGCCGCGGUGAAUACGUUCCCGGGCCUUGUACACACCGCCCGUCACACCACGAGAGUUUGUAACACCCGAAGUCGGUGAGGUAACCUUUUGGAGCCAGCCGCCUAAGGUGGGAUAGAUGAUUGGGGUGAAGUCGUAACAAGGUA
rnacentral:rRNA from 1 species